UAUGGUCAAGUGAAGAAGCGCAUACGGUGGAUGCCUUGGCAGUCAGAGGCGAUGAAAGACGUGGUAGCCUGCGAAAAGCUUCGGGGAGUCGGCAAACAGACUUUGAUCCGGAGAUGUCUGAAUGGGGGAACCCAGCCAUCAUAAGAUGGUUAUCUUACGCUGAAUACAUAGGCGUAAGAGGCGAACCAGGGGAACUGAAACAUCUAAGUACCCUGAGGAAAAGAAAUCAACCGAGAUUCCCUUAGUAGUGGCGAGCGAACGGGGACUAGCCCUUAAGUGGCUUUGAGAUUAGCGGAACGCUCUGGAAAGUGCGGCCAUAGUGGGUGAUAGCCCUGUACGCGAAAAUCUCUUGGUCAUGAAAUCGAGUAGGACGGAGCACGAGAAACUUUGUCUGAAUAUGGGGGGACCAUCCUCCAAGGCUAAAUACUACUGACUGACCGAUAGUGAACUAGUACCGUGAGGGAAAGGCGAAAAGAACCCCGGAGAGGGGAGUGAAAUAGAUCCUGAAACCGUAUGCGUACAAGCAGUGGGAGCCCACUUUGUUGGGUGACUGCGUACCUUUUGUAUAAUGGGUCAGCGACUUAUUUUCAGUGGCGAGCUUAACCGAAUAGGGGAGGCGUAGCGAAAGCGAGUCUUAAUAGGGCGUCUAGUCGCUGGGAAUAGACCCGAAACCGGGCGAUCUAUCCAUGGGCAGGUUGAAGGUUGGGUAACACUAACUGGAGGACCGAACCGACUACCGUUGAAAAGUUAGCGGAUGACCUGUGGAUCGGAGUGAAAGGCUAAUCAAGCUCGGAGAUAGCUGGUUCUCCUCGAAAGCUAUUUAGGUAGCGCCUCAUGUAUCACUGUAGGGGGUAGAGCACUGUUUCGGCUAGGGGGUCAUCCCGACUUACCAAACCGAUGCAAACUCCGAAUACCUACAAGUGCCGAGCAUGGGAGACACACGGCGGGUGCUAACGUCCGUCGUGAAAAGGGAAACAACCCAGACCGUCAGCUAAGGUCCCAAAGUUAUGGUUAAGUGGGAAACGAUGUGGGAAGGCUUAGACAGCUAGGAGGUUGGCUUAGAAGCAGCCACCCUUUAAAGAAAGCGUAAUAGCUCACUAGUCGAGUCGGCCUGCGCGGAAGAUGUAACGGGGCUCAAACCAUACACCGAAGCUACGGGUAUCACGUAAGUGAUGCGGUAGAGGAGCGUUCUGUAAGCCUGUGAAGGUGAGUUGAGAAGCUUGCUGGAGGUAUCAGAAGUGCGAAUGCUGACAUGAGUAACGACAAUGGGUGUGAAAAACACCCACGCCGAAAGACCAAGGUUUCCUGCGCAACGUUAAUCGACGCAGGGUUAGUCGGUCCCUAAGGCGAGGCUGAAAAGCGUAGUCGAUGGAAAACAGGUUAAUAUUCCUGUACUUCUGGUUAUUGCGAUGGAGGGACGGAGAAGGCUAGGCCAGCUUGGCGUUGGUUGUCCAAGUUUAAGGUGGUAGGCUGAGAUCUUAGGUAAAUCCGGGAUCUUAAGGCCGAGAGCUGAUGACGAGUGUUCUUUUAGAACACGAAGUGGUUGAUGCCAUGCUUCCAAGAAAAGCUUCUAAGCUUCAGGUAACCAGGAACCGUACCCCAAACCGACACAGGUGGUUGGGUAGAGAAUACCAAGGCGCUUGAGAGAACUCGGGUGAAGGAACUAGGCAAAAUGGCACCGUAACUUCGGGAGAAGGUGCGCCGGUGAGGGUGAAGGACUUGCUCCGUAAGCUCAUGCCGGUCGAAGAUACCAGGCCGCUGCGACUGUUUAUUAAAAACACAGCACUCUGCAAACACGAAAGUGGACGUAUAGGGUGUGACGCCUGCCCGGUGCCGGAAGGUUAAUUGAUGGGGUUAGCUAACGCGAAGCUCUUGAUCGAAGCCCCGGUAAACGGCGGCCGUAACUAUAACGGUCCUAAGGUAGCGAAAUUCCUUGUCGGGUAAGUUCCGACCUGCACGAAUGGCGUAACGAUGGCGGCGCUGUCUCCACCCGAGACUCAGUGAAAUUGAAAUCGCUGUGAAGAUGCAGUGUAUCCGCGGCUAGACGGAAAGACCCCGUGAACCUUUACUAUAGCUUUGCACUGGACUUUGAAUUUGCUUGUGUAGGAUAGGUGGGAGGCUUUGAAGCGUGGACGCCAGUCUGCGUGGAGCCAACCUUGAAAUACCACCCUGGCAACUUUGAGGUUCUAACUCAGGUCCGUUAUCCGGAUCGAGGACAGUGUAUGGUGGGUAGUUUGACUGGGGCGGUCUCCUCCUAAAGAGUAACGGAGGAGUACGAAGGUGCGCUCAGACCGGUCGGAAAUCGGUCGUAGAGUAUAAAGGCAAAAGCGCGCUUGACUGCGAGACAGACACGUCGAGCAGGUACGAAAGUAGGUCUUAGUGAUCCGGUGGUUCUGUAUGGAAGGGCCAUCGCUCAACGGAUAAAAGGUACUCCGGGGAUAACAGGCUGAUACCGCCCAAGAGUUCAUAUCGACGGCGGUGUUUGGCACCUCGAUGUCGGCUCAUCACAUCCUGGGGCUGAAGCCGGUCCCAAGGGUAUGGCUGUUCGCCAUUUAAAGUGGUACGCGAGCUGGGUUUAGAACGUCGUGAGACAGUUCGGUCCCUAUCUGCCGUGGACGUUUGAGAUUUGAGAGGGGCUGCUCCUAGUACGAGAGGACCGGAGUGGACGAACCUCUGGUGUUCCGGUUGUCACGCCAGUGGCAUUGCCGGGUAGCUAUGUUCGGAAUAGAUAACCGCUGAAAGCAUCUAAGCGGGAAACUAGCCUCAAGAUGAGAUCUCACUGGAACCUUGAGUUCCCUGAAGGGCCGUCGAAGACUACGACGUUGAUAGGUUGGGUGUGUAAGCGCUGUGAGGCGUUGAGCUAACCAAUACUAAUUGCCCGUGAGGCUUGACCAUA
rnacentral:rRNA from 1 species